CAACUAAAGGUUACUGCUUGUUUUACUACAGAUUGCUGGAGCUGGGCAUUCCGACGUUUUGGGAAGAAUCGAUCUUCGUCACGUACAUGGCCGUGGACAGCGAAAGCCCGGAAGACGUAGUUUUGGACUGACUGCCACCAGGAGGCGUGGGGCCCAUCAUCAGCUCUAGGCAAUCUCUCGGCAUCUUGCGAUACCGCCUUUGGUAUAAAAGAAGACUGCCAGCCACCCGUCCUUUCACUUGGCAUUGGUGACGACUCUGCGCGGCGCUCAACUAAAGGUUACUGCUUGUUUUACUACAGAUUGCCGUUUCUGCAUUCGUCGUU
rnacentral:lncRNA from 1 species